rnacentral:lncRNA from 1 species
UACGAGGUUCAAUUUAGUAUUUGAAAUCACAGGAAUAUAAGUAUUAAUUAACAACAAUUUGUUUCGCUCAUUUCGCCUCGUUUCACCAUGAAAGAACAACAUGGGCGACACUGGCGACAUCUAGUAAUGAGUUUUGAAUCUUAAGUUAGUUGCACUGUCAGUCAGUCACAGACAGACAACAUGACAUUACACGUCGUAACUUUCAUAAGUUACUUAAAAAGUUUAACAGCAGAGAUCGGAUAGCAAAUCAACUGUUUUUAAAUAAUUUCAGCUGAAGUUUUCAUCCUACCUGGCUAACCGCUAACUAGGUGCUCGUGACAAUAGAAAUGAAAUGGUCUAAUCCAAUAAUGCAUGCCCACAACCUAAUGCCUUCUGAAGCAAAAUAAUUUUGUGUUGACAGUUGUAAAUUUUCAAGAUAUUGAUGUCUUCGCAAGAUCCCAUUCUUUGUUGCUAUCAGUUUUGCAAACAACAGCAAGAAAAUGCUGCUACUCAAGAUUUUAUGGUGACCAACACUUUGUUCUAAUUUAGGGCAAUGUAAGGUUGAUAAAUUUGAGGUUAAUCCCUCUUUGUCACUGUUAUAGUUGUUUGGAAACCAACAAUCCUACUAUGACUAUAUCUCCCCAGUAAAACUGGCCUCGUACUUCUCUGUUCUUCACUGGCCAGAUACUGUUCCUACAUAGUGCUGGGAGUAAUGGCCAAUUUGAAAACAAUUCUUAAAAAUUUGCAUUCAAUCGAUUUUAAUGCUGGUAUAAAAUUAUAAAUACAACUUUUACAA